ensembl:misc_RNA
UUUGCGUUGAGUAAAGGGUAGCUAGGAGUUCCGGCUGCGGACCCGAAGCGUGUGCGGGCUCAGAACUAAACGCUAAAUAAACACAAUUCCCUCCUCUUGGGGUCGCUCGUCCUGGAGGCGCGGAAGACUGAGG